CCAAGUGAAGCUUAAAUACAGCAUCUGGCUUAUACCCAGAAGAGUUCAUAAUAAAGACGACCACUUUGA
rnacentral:tRNA from 1 species